GCAUAUCAAUAAGCGGAGGAAAAGAAACCAACAGGGAUUGCCUCAGUAACGGCGAGUGAAGCGGCAACAGCUCAAAUUUGAAAUCUGGCCCUAGGCCCGAGUUGUAAUUUGCAGAGGAUGUUUCUGGCGAGGUGCCUUCCGAGUGCCCUGGAACGGGACGCCAUAGAGGGUGAGAGCCCCGUACGGUUGGUCGCUAAGCCUCUGUGAAACUCCUUCGACGAGUCGAGUAGUUUGGGAAUGCUGCUCUAAAUGGGAGGUAUACGUCUUCUAAAGCUAAAUACCGGCCAGAGACCGAUAGCGCACAAGUAGAGUGAUCGAAAGAUGAAAAGCACUUUGAAAAGAGGGUUAAAUAGUACGUGAAAUUGUUGAAAGGGAAGCGCUCAUGACCAGACUUGGGCCGGUUGAUCAUCCGCCGUUCUCGGCGGUGCACUCUGCCGGCUCAGGCCAGCAUCAGUUUGGUCCGGGGGAUAAAGGUGUAGGGAAUGUGGCUCCCCCCGGGGAGUGUUAUAGCCCUGCGCGUAAUACCCUGGACUGGACUGAGGUUCGCGCAUCUGCAAGGAUGCUGGCGUAAUGGUUAUCAGUGACCCGUCUUGAAACACGGACCAAGGAGUCGUCUUCGUAUGCGAGUGUUCGGGUGUCAAACCCCUACGCGUAAUGAAAGUGAACGUAGGAGAGAGCUUCGGCGCAUCUCCGACCGAUCCUGAUGUUCUCGGAUGGAUUUGAGUAAGAGCAUACGGGGCCGGACCCGAAAGAAGGUGAACUAUGCCUGUAUAGGGUGAAGCCAGAGGAAACUCUGGUGGAGGCUCGCAGCGGUUCUGACGUGCAAAUCGAUCGUCAAAUAUGGGCAUGGGGGCGAAAGACUAAUCGAACCUUCUAGUAGCUGGUUUCCGCCGAAGUUCCCC
rnacentral:rRNA from 1 species